UCUGAGGAACAAACUCGUCCAGUCUGUGUCCAUUGUAAGAUAUUUCACCUGAACACUGUGGAAACAAAAAGGGAAAAGACCAGAAAAAAGGAGGACCAAGCAACAGUGUUAACCUGCAACAGCAAGAAGAAUAAACACACACUUGAAGAAAUUGUUGAGUACCCACAGAUAAAACGCGCUUAGCAGUGUUCCACAGUGUUGGAAGUGCCUUCCCUUCAACAAUCUCGCACUCGGCCUCCACUUUUAAACUCUCGUACCUCACUUCUAUGAUGACGUUCCAUGGCUCCAAGCUUUGUGACAUCAACGACCCUUCUUCCUUUCUCGGACAUGGACUCAUCGCCAUCAUCAAGGAGAGUCGAUCU